rnacentral:rRNA from 2 species
UUCAAUACUGUUUUUUUUAAAAAUGGUGUGCACUUUUCUCUUAGUAAGACGUUGUGAUCCAUUAGGAAUCGAUUGUCUAUCUAAUGUUGGACAAUCAAUAGGUUACCAAUAGGCCGACAUUGAAGUUCUCGAUGGCAAAUGGCGCGAUCUUUUGGUUGUGUGUAUUGCCUUGUGAGCAUGUCGUAUUCUGAUGUAACUGCCUGAUGGUUUUUAAAGGUCAUGUCAUUGAUGCUUGCUCAUCACCCGACUUUUGUUGGGAUAUAUUUGUCAUGUGCCCGAUCAACAACGGUUUCAUUUGGGAUACCUUUGGGACCCGUCUUGAAACACGGACCAAGGAGUCUAUCUAGUAUGCGAGUAAAUGGGAUUUCAUUUAAAAACCUAUUUGCGUAAAUAACUUGACUGUAAUUUAAUGGGAUUACGUGUGCAUUUACCUAACCGUGUGCGCACCUCCAUCCCGGGGUAUUUUCAUAACAUAUAUGGGCAACUAUAUAUAGAAAAUAUACCAUGAGCAUACUGGACAUGACCCGAAAGAUGGUGAACUAUGCCUGAUCAGGUUGAAGUCAGGGGAAACCCUGAUGGAGGACCGAAGCAAUUCUGACGUGCAAAUCG